rnacentral:rRNA from 1 species
GGGGAAUUGUUCGCAAUGGGCGCAAGCCUGACGACGCAACGCCGCGUGGGGGAUGAAGGUCUUCGGAUCGUAAACCCCUGUCGAACGGGACGAAAGACCCGCGAUUUAAUACUUCGCGGGAGUGACGGUACCGUUAAAGGAAGCCACGGCUAACUCUGUGCCAGCAGCCGCGGUAAUACAGAGGUGGCAAGCGUUGUUCGGAAUUAUUGGGCGUAAAGGGCGCGUAGGCGGCCCGGUAAGUCAAAGGUGAAAUCCCUCGGCUCAACUGAGGAACUGCCUUUGAAACUGUCGGGCUUGAGGCCGGGAGGGGGUAGCGGAAUUCCCAGUGUAGCGGUGAAAUGCGUAGAUAUUGGGAGGAACACCGGUGGCGAAGGCGGCUACCUGGACCGGUUCUGACGCUGAUGCGCGAAAGCGUGGGUAGCAAA